ACUAUUUCUAUCAUAAAACACUUAGAAAUAUGUUCCAUUGUUAUUUAGAAUUGUCAUUUCCAAUUUCUUUACCCUGUAUGAUAAACACUGUAAUAAAUGAGAAACCACAAUUAUAUUUAUCUAACUAUAUAAUGAGCAUUUAUAAUUACUUUUUGAAUAAUGCUAAUGAAAGAGUUAAGAAUUAGAUUACUGAUUAUGUAUAUAUACUGUACCUUAAACUGAUAUAGUUGUGACCAGAAAGAACUAUUUAAGCUAAUGCCUCAAUACUUUAAGGUUUAAUGCUUAACCCUCUGAAUUCAUCGACCCACUUCUUACGCUGAAUAACUAAACUCCACUGAGACGCAUUCUCCGUUAAAGUUUUGGAGCUCAGUGCUUUUAGCUCUGUGGCUUUUUCAGUUACCUUGCUUUCUGACACAUCAGGUUCAAGCCAUCGGGCCACAGCUGUAUAGACCUUUCCUUCACCAGAUACAGUUACAACUUUCCCUUUAAUGCACACAUCAUAACGACCACUGGGGUACUGCUCACUCUUGGGUCGGUAAACCACACUUAUGGUACCAGUGAUGGUUUUUGUAUUGGGGUUCAAUGUUUGGAUCUUCCUCAUGUCACCUUUAUUA